UGGUGGGGUGACUUGUCUGCUUAAUUGCGAUAACGAACGAGACCUUAACCUGCUAAAUAGCCCGCAUUGCUCCGGCAGUGCGCUGGCUUCUUAGAGG
rnacentral:rRNA from 1 species